rnacentral:rRNA from 1 species
UGGGGAUUAUUGCACAAUGGGCGCAAGCCUGAUGCAUCCAUGCCGCGUGUAUGAAGAAGGCCUUCUGGUUGUAAAGUACUUUCAGCGGGGAGGAAGGGAGUAAAGUUAAUACCUUUGCUCAUUGACGUUACCCGCAGAAGAAGCACCGGCUAACUCCGUGCCAGCAGCCGCGGUAAUACGGAGGGUGCAAGCGUUAAUCGGAAUUACUGUGCGUAAAGCGCACGCAGGCGGUUUGUUAAGUCAGAUGUGAAAUCCCCGGGCUCAACCUGGGAACUGAAUCUGAUACUGGCAAGCUUGAGUCUCGUAGAGGGGGGUAGAAUUCCAGGUGUAGCGGUGAAAUGCGUAGAGAUCUGGAGGAAUACAGGUGGCGAAGGCGGCCCCCUGGACGAAGACUGACGCUCAGGUGCGAAAGCGUGGGGAGCAAACAGG